rnacentral:tRNA from 1 species
GGACAAUUAGCUCAGCUGGAUAGAGCAUCGGCCUCCGGAGCCGAGGGUCGAGGGUUCGAAUCCCCCAUUGUCCG